rnacentral:rRNA from 1 species
GUCUAAGGCCAUGCUACCCUGAACAAGCCCGAUCCCAUCUGAUCUUGGAAGCUAAGCAGGGUCGGGCCUGGUUAGUACUUGGAUGAGAGACCACCUAAGAAGACCAGGUGCUGUAGGUA